UAAACACAGAAUUGAUUCAAAAUCAUAGGAUUACAUUUACUUUACACAGAAUUGAUUCAAACAUUCAAAAUCGUAGUCACUUCAAUUCCACAUUCACACGAAAUUCAAAAUCACAGAGUCACUUCAAUUAUGCAUUCACACAUUGAAAAUCGUUUACACAUUCACUUCAAUUUUUUCAUUUUCUUCAAACCUGGUACUUAAUUCUGGAGACCCCUAUUUUUAUUCCAACGCCGAGUCGUCGACCAAAAGACCAGAUCUGGAAAUGCUGCAAACAUACAAACGGUAAACCAACAAUACAAUCGAGACACAGGGGCGAGCAAGGGCAGAGCAGUAGGCAAGCCGAGAAGCACCACGAGCGCGAGACGCAAGCCCUAAGAGACAGUGCAGUCUGUGGGUCUCAGUCUGGCAGUGAGAGUGUGGAGGAGAGGGAGUGAGGAGUGAGAAGGGAGGGAGAUGGUUGAUCGAAGGUUCAUAAACAUAAUUAAGGAGAUUACUUGUGAUUGUAUUCACAAGUAAUCUCCAUUGAUUAAAUAUGCUACAUUAACUAAAAAAAAAAAAAA
rnacentral:misc_RNA from 1 species